rnacentral:rRNA from 1 species
GAUGAACGCUGGCGGCGUGCCUAAUACAUGCCAGUCGAGCGAACGGACGAGAAGCUUGCUUCUCUGAUGUUAGCGGCGGACGGGUGAGUAACACGUGGAUAACCUACCUAUAAGACUGGGAUAACUUCGGGAAACCGGAGCUAAUACCGGAUAAUAUUUUGAACCGCAUGGUUCAAAAGUGAAAGACGGUCUUUCUGUCACUUAUAGAUGGAUCCGCGCUGCAUUAGCUAGUUGGUAAGGUAACGGCUUACCAAGGCAACGAUGCAGAGCCGACCUGAGAGGGUGAUCGGCCACACUGGAACUGGGACACGGUCCAGACCCCUACGGGAGGCAGAAGUAGGGAAUCUUCCGCAAUGGGCGAAAGCCUGACGGAGCAACGCCGCGUGAGUGAUGAAGGUCUUCGGAUCGUAAAACUCUGUUAUUAGGGAAGAACAUAUGUGUAAGUAACUGUGCACAUCUUGACGGUACCUAAUCAGAAAGCCACGGCUAACUACGUG